UACGUAGGGUCCGAGCGUUGUCCGGAGUUACUGGGCGUAAAGCGCGCGCAGGCGGCGCGGUCAGCAUGGCGUGAAAGCCCCCGGCUCAACCGGGGAGGGUCGUCGUGGACUGCCGCGCUUGAGGGCGGUAGGGGCUGGUGGAAUUCCUGGUAUAGUGGUGAAAUGCGUAGAGAUCGGGAGGAACACCCGUGGCGAAGGCGGCCAGCUGGGCCGACCCUGACGCUGAGGCGCGAAGGCGUGGGGAGCGAACGGG
rnacentral:rRNA from 1 species